GAACUGCGAUAAGUAAUGUGAAUUGCAGAAUUCAGUGAAUCAUCGAGUCUUUGAACGCACAUUGCGCCCCCUGGCAUUCCGGGGGGCAUGCCUGUCCGAGCGUCAUUGCUGCCCUUCAAGCCCGGCUGGUGUGUUGGGUCGUCGUCCCCUCCGGGGGACGGGCCCGAAAGGCAGCGGCGGCACCGCGUCCGGUCCUCGAGCGUAUGGGGCUUUGUCACCCGCUCGAUAAGGACCGGCCGGGCGCCAGCCGGCGUCUCCAACCUUUUUUUCUCAGGUUGACCUCGGAUCAGGUAGGGAUACCCGCUGAACUUAAGC
rnacentral:misc_RNA from 1 species